rnacentral:rRNA from 1 species
CCUACGGGGGGCUGCAGUCGAGAAUCAUUCACAAUGGGGGAAACCCUGAUGGUGCGACGCCGCGUGGGGGAAUGAAGGUCUUCGGAUUGUAAACCCCUGUCAUGUGGGAGCAAAUUAAAAGGAUAGUACCACAAGAGGAAGAGACGGCUAACUCUGUGCCAGCAGCCGCGGUAAUACAGAGGUCUCAAGCGUUGUUCGGAAUCACUGGGCGUAAGGCGUGCGUAGGCUGUUUCGUAAGUCGUGUGUGAAAGGCGCGGGCUCAACCCGCGGACGGCACAUGAUACUGGGAGACUAGAGUAAUGGAGGGGGAACCGGAAUGCUCGGUGUAGCAGUGAAAUGCGUAGAUAUCGAGAGGAACACUCGUGGCGAAGGCGGGUUCCUGGACAUUAACUGACGCUGAGGCACGAAGGCCAGGGGAGCGAAAGGGAUUAGAUACCCCAGUAGUC